rnacentral:rRNA from 1 species
UUAAAUCGACCGCCUGGGGAGUACGGCCGCAAGGUUAAAACUCAAAUGAAUUGACGGGGGCCCGCACAAGCGGUGGAGCAUGUGGUUUAAUUCGAUGCAACGCGAAGAACCUUACCUACUCUUGACAUCCAGAGAACUUUCCAGAGAUGGAUUGGUGCCUUCGGGAACUCUGAGACAGGUGCUGCAUGGCUGUCGUCAGCUCGUGUUGUGAAAUGUUGGGUUAAGUCCCGCAACGAGCGCAACCCUUAUCCUUUGUUGCCAGCGGUUCGGCCGGGAACUCAAAGGAGACUGCCAGUGAUAAACUGGAGGAAGGUGGGGAUGACGUCAAGUCAUCAUGGCCCUUACGAGUAGGGCUACACACGUGCUACAAUGGCAUAUACAAAGAGAAGCGACCUCGCGAGAGCAAGCGGACCUCAUAAAGUAUGUCGUAGUCCGGAUUGGAGUCUGCAACUCGACUCCAUGAAGUCGGAAUCGCUAGUAAUCGUAGAUCAGAAUGCUACGGUGAAUACGUUCCCGGGCCUUGUACACACCGCCCGUCACACCAUGGGAGUGGGUUGCAAAAGAAGUAGGUAGCUUAACCUUCGGGAGGGCGCUUACCACUUUGUGAUUCAUGACUGGGGUG